rnacentral:rRNA from 1 species
GCUUGCUGGUGUGGAUGAGUGGCGAACAGAGGUGAGUAAUACGUGAGUAACCUGCCCUUGACUCUGGGAUAAGCCCGGGAAACUGGGUCUAAUACUGGAUGCUACAUGUCACCGCAUGGUGGUGUGUGGAAAGGGUUUACUGGUCUUGGAUGGGCUCACGGCCUAUCAGCUUGUUGGUGAGGUAAUGGCUCACCAAGGCGACGACGGGUAGCCGGCCUGAGAGGGUGACCGGCCACACUGGGACUGAGACACGGCCCAGACUCCUACGGGAGGCAGCAGUGGGGAAUAUUGCACAAUGGGCGAAAGCCUGAUGCAGCGACGCCGCGUGAGGGAUGACGGCCUUCGGGUUGUAAACCUCUUUCAGCAGGGAAGAAGCCACAAGUGACGGUACCUGCAGAAGAAGCGCCGGCUAACUACGUGCCAGCAGCCGCGGUAAUACGUAGGGCGCAAGCGUUGUCCGGAAUUAUUGGGCGUAAAGAGCUCGUAGGCGGUUUGUCGCGUCUGCUGUGAAAGCCCGGGGCUUAACCCCGGGUGUGCAGUGGGUACGGGCAGACUAGAGUGCAGUAGGGGAGACUGGAAUUCCUGGUGUAGCGGUGGAAUGCGCAGAUAUCAGGAGGAACACCGAUGGCGAAGGCAGGUCUCUGGGCUGUUACUGACGCUGAGGAGCGAAAGCAUGGGGAGCGAACAGGAUUAGAUACCCUGGUAGUCCAUGCCGUAAACGUUGGGCACUAGGUGUGGGGGACAUUCCACGUUUUCCGCGCCGUAGCUAACGCAUUAAGUGCCCCGCCUGGGGAGUACGGCCGCAAGGCUAAAACUCAAAGGAAUUGACGGGGGCCCGCACAAGCGGCGGAGCAUGCGGAUUAAUUCGAUGCAACGCGAAGAACCUUACCAAGGCUUGACAUAUACCGGAUCGUUCCAGAGAUGGUUCUUCCCCUUUGGGGUCGGUAUACAGGUGGGUGCAUGGGUUGUCGUCCAGCUCGUGUCGUGAAAAUGUUGGGGUUAAGUCCCCGCAACGAAGCGCAACCCUUCGUUCCAUGUUUGCCAG